CAGCCGCCGCGGUAAUACGGAGGGAGCUAGCGUUGUUCGGAAUUACUGGGCGUAAAGCGCACGUAGGCGGCUUUGUAAGUCAGAGGUGAAAGCCUGGAGCUCAACUCCAGAACUGCCUUUGAGACUGCAUCGCUUGAAUCCAGGAGAGGUGAGUGGAAUUCCGAGUGUAGAGGUGAAAUUCGUAGAUAUUCGGAAGAACACCAGUGGCGAAGGCGGCUCACUGGACUGGUAUUGACGCUGAGGUGCGAAUGCGUGGGGAGCAAACAGGAUUAGAUACCCCCGUAGUCCCUGUCUCUUAUAC
rnacentral:rRNA from 1 species